rnacentral:rRNA from 1 species
GAUGAACGCUGGCGGCGUGCCUAAUACAUGCAAGUCGAGCGAACAGGCGAGGAGCUUGCUCCUCUGACGUUAGCGGCGGACGGGUGAGUAACACGUGGAUAACCUACCUAUAAGACUGGGAUAACUUCGGGAAACCGGAGCUAAUACCGGAUAAUAUAUUGAACCGCAUGGUUCAAUAGUGAAAGACGGUUUUGCUGUCACUUAUAGAUGGAUCCGCGCCGCAUUAGCUAGUUGGUAAGGUAACGGCUUACCAAGGCAACGAUGCGUAGCCGACCUGAGAGGGUGAUCGGCCACACUGGAACUGAGACACGGUCCAGACUCCUACGGGAGGCAGCAGUAGGGAAUCUUCCGCAAUGGGCGAAAGCUUGACGGAGCAACGCCGCGUGAGUGAUGAAGGUCUUCGGAUCGUAAAACUCUGUUAUUAGGGAAGAACAAAUGUGUAAGUAACUAUGCACGUCUUGACGGUACCUAAGCAGAAAGCCACGGCUAACUACGU